rnacentral:rRNA from 1 species
ACGUUAGCGGCGGACGGGUGAGUAACACGUGGGUAACCUACCUAUAAGACUGGGAUAACUUCGGGAAACCGGAGCUAAUACCGGAUAAUAUUUCGAACCGCAUGGUUCGAUAGUGCAAGAUGGUUUUGCUAUCACUUAUAGAUGGACCCGCGCCGUAUUAGCUAGUUGGUAAGGUAACGGCUUACCAAGGCGACGAUACGUAGCCGACCUGAGAGGGUGAUCGGCCACACUGGAACUGAGACACGGUCCAGACUCCUACGGGAGGCAGCAGCC